AUGCUAUAUGAAGGAGAGAAGGUUAGCCUUCCCCUUGACAAGGACAGAGGAGGCCCUCGGGCCUGUACAGCAUUGUCACCUACUUGGUGGCUUCUAAACAUUGUUAU
rnacentral:ncRNA from 1 species